rnacentral:rRNA from 1 species
AGACCCGAAACCCGGUGAUCUAGCCAUGGGCAGGUUGAAGGUUGGGUAACACUAACUGGAGGACCGAACCGACUAAUGUUGAAAAAUUAGCGGAUGACCUGUGGCUGGGGGUGAAAGGCCAAUCAAACCGGGAGAUAGCUGGUUCUCCCCGAAAGCUAUUUAGGUAGCGCCUCGUGAAUUCAUCUCCGGGGGUAGAGCACUGUUUCGGCUAGGGGGCCAUCCCGGCUUACCAACCCGAUGCAAACUGCGAAUACCGGAGAAUGUUAUCACGGGAGACACACGGCGGGUGCUAACGUCCGUCGUGAAGAGGGAAACAACCCAGACCGCCAGCUAAGGUCCCAAAGUCAUGGUUAAGUGGGAAACGAUGUGGGAAGGCCCAGACAGCCAGGAUGUUGGCUUAGAAGCAGCCAUCAUUUAAAGAAAGCGUAAUAGCUCACUGGUCGAGUCGGCCUGCGCGGAAGAUGUAACGGGGCUAAACCAUGCACCGAAGCUGCGGCAGCGACGCUGAUGCGUUGUUGGGUAGGGGAGCGUUCUGUAAGCCUGCGAAGGUGGCCUGUGAGGGUUGCUGGAGGUAUCAGAAGUGCGAAUGCUGACAUAAGUAACGAUAAAGCGGGUGAAAAGCCCGCUCGCCGGAAGACCAAGGGUUCCUGUCCAACGUUAAUCGGGGCAGGGUGAGUCGACCCCUAAGGCGAGGCCGAA